AUGUCUGGUACACAAAUCCUUCAAAAGUCAGCCUUCACCCAAGAUCAUCCAACCUCCAACCUUAGCACUCCCUGUUCUUUCACAUCGACAUCAUGCCCAUUGUCUUGUCUUCACUCUGUAUUUUGCUCAGCCUUCUCUGUUUCAACACCUCAAUACCAGCCGCAGCACAAGCAAACAUGUCCGAGAUCGAUCGCCAUGCCCUCCUCUGCUUCAAGUCAGGCAUCAAUCCCUGAUUCACUAGGCACUAGCAGUUUUCUUAGCUAUGUCGACCUUGCAAACAACACACUUACCGGCAAUAUCCCUCUCUCAUUAGCCAGUAGCUCCUCACUCAGCACACUUAUACUGUCACGUAAUCGCCUCUCUGGAGAGAUCCCUUCUACUUUGUUUGGUAAUUCAUCCAAGCUUACCGUCGUUGAUCUCCAGAUGAAUUUUUUCACUGGUCCCAUCCCACAUUUCCAUAAGGUCACAACACUCAAAUUUCUUUGUCUGACAGACAACUUCCUCUCUGGGAGCAUACCUCCUUCAAUAGGAAAUUUUUCUUCCCUCGCUUCUAUAUCCCUCGUCCGAAAUAGGUUAUCGGGAUUAAUUCCAGAGACUUUGAGUCACAUUACAAAACUGCUGGAGCUUGAUCUAAGUUUCAACAGUUUAUCAGGGAGUGUCCCGUUGUCUUUUUACAACAUGACAUCACUCGAAUUCUUCAAUGUGGGCAGCAAUGCCCUUGUUGGACAGAUGCCAUCUCACAUUGGUUUCUCACUACCAAACCUCCAGUUCCUUAUCAUGGGAAGCAACAGGUUGGAGGGCCUGAUCCCUGCUUCACUAUCCAACAUGUUAAAUCUCCAAACACUUGAUCUUUCAAACAACUUGUUACAUGGCUCUGUGCCAUAUCUUGGUUCUUUGGCAAACUUGCAUCUGUUGGAUUUAGGAAUUAACUUGCUAGAAGCACAUGACUGGUCAUUCCUUACAUCUCUAGCAAAUUGCACCCAGCUGACAAAGUUGUCCUUGGAAGGGAAUCUUCUAAAUGGCAGCCUACCUAUAUCAAUUGUUAAUCUUUCCAGGAGGCUAGAACAUUUAUCGCUUGGGUCAAACCAAAUUUUGGGCUCCAUACCUGCUGAGAUUAGCAAAUUUGUUAAUCUCACUUCACUUGGGAUGGAGAGUAAUUUUCUUUCUGGAAGCAUACCUUCUACCAUCGGGAAGCUACAGAACUUAUACAUCCUGAAUCUAUCAAAGAACAAAUUAUCAGGUCAGAUCCCUCCCUCAGUGGGUGGCAUUGCUCAACUGGGCAAACUUUAUCUUGAUGAUAACAACUUGAGUGGAAACAUACCUGGUAGUUUAGGUCAGUGCAAGGGACUUCUUGAACUAAACUUGUCUCGGAACAAUCUUGACGGGUCAGUACCAGACGAACUGUUUGCUUAUCCUCCACUCUCCUUGGUUCUGGACUUCUCACACAACAAUCUCACAGGGGAACUACCAUUGGUAGUUGGUACACAUAGCAGUGGUGGUCCAGUAUCCCUUCACAUGGAAGGAAACAAGUUUCAUGGACAGAUUCCAGAAAGAUGGCAUCUACUAGUAUCAACCCAGCAGAUUAAUCUUUCUCAUAAUGACUUAUCCGGUGCCGUGCCUGAAUUCUUUGAGCGAUUUGAUAUGCUGAAGCAACUUGAUCUGUCUUACAAUAACUUGGAAGGGUCUGUUCCUACUAGUGGGAUCUUUAAGAAAUAUGCUGCAGUAGUUCUGGGUGGCAACAAGGGACUCUGUUUAAAUUCCUCCAAGUUGAUAAAAAUAAGAAAUUCCUUCAGGCCAGCAUUACCAGUUUGUCCUCGCAUCUCAGCUUUAGUGACUAAAUCAAAACACCACCUGUCAUUCCUGGCGACCUCGCUGCUAAUUGUACUACCAACACUCAGUAUUGGUUCCCUGGUGUUGUUAUGGUUUCUGCUCACUCUUUGGAAGAAAGGGUUGUUUUCGUCUUCACGAUGGGAUCUUGUGUCCAAGUUGUUUCCUAAUAGAAGAGAAGUGCCUACAGUCCCAUGCCAUGACGAGAAGAAGCUCAAGAGAGUGUCAUACGAGGACAUUCUUAAAGCUACCAACUGGUUUUCUUUGGUCCAUACUAUCAGCUCAACUUGUACUGGUUCAGUUUAUGUUGGUAGGUUCAAGUCCGACAAGAGCCUAGUUGCCAUCAAAGUAUUCAACUUGAAUGAACCUGGUGGAUACAAUAGUUACCUUAUUGAGUGUGAAGUGCUACGAAGCACCCGCCAUAGAAAUAUAAUGCGACCUGUGACCCUAUGCUCAACACUGGAUUCACAAAACCAUGAGUUCAAAGCACUAAUCUUCGAGUUCAUGGUUAAUGGCAGCCUAGAGAAAUGGUUGCAUUCUGACCAACACAAUGGAAUCGCAGAUAAAGGGCUAAGCUUUGCCCACAGGAUAUGCAUAGCAGCAGAUGUGGCUUCUGCUCUUGAUUAUGCCCACAACGAACUGACGCCUCCUCUGAUCCAUUGUGAUUUGAAGCCAAACAAUGUCCUUUUGGAUGAUGACAUGACUGCACGGCUCAGUGACUUUGGCUCAGGGAAGUUUCUAUCACCAGGUCUGCUAAUUCCUAAAAGCCUGGAUGAUGUUGGAGGGACAAUUGGAUAUGUGGCACCUGAGUAUGGAAUGGGUUGCGAGAUCUCCGUAGCCGACGAUGUGUAUAGUUUUGGAGUGCUUCUACUGGAAUUGCUUACUGGAAAACGACCUACUGAUGAUAUGUUUGUGGAUGGACUUAGCCUUUGUAAGUUCUGUGAAUCUAUGUUCCCAGACAGAGUUGCAGAGAUUCUUGAUCCUCAUAUGGCACAUGAGGAGCAUCAAGGGUGCGCAGAAGCGUGGAUGCAGAGAUAUAUUGUCCCCUUGGUUGCCCUUGGGCUGUCAUGUACCUUGGAAUCUCCGAAGGAUAGGCCCGGAAUGAAAGAUGUUUGUGCAAAACUUUCUGAUAUUAGAGCCUCUUUUCUGGAACUGUCAUGA
rnacentral:rRNA from 1 species